UGGCUUUUAGUCUUUCCCUCUGUUUCAGGGAUGCCAAGGAGAAGGAAGACCGCGGAGGGCCCUGACUCUCGAGGUCAGGAUGGAGAGGAAGAGGAGGAAGAGAAGAGGCGUGCAGCCAGCGCCAAGAAGAAACGCAGCUUUGUGGACGCGUUUAUUGUUAUAUCUGACAGCGAUGGAGAGCAGGAGUCAAAGGAAGACAGCGGAUUGCAAACGAAAAGAGCAAAACAGCAGCUGGAUAGAACGAAGUUUGCUGCUAAAAGAAAAAUUGCACAGAUGACUGAAGAGGAACAGUUUGCACUGGCCCUGAAAAUGAGUGAGCAAGAAGCCAGACAAGUGAACUGUCAGGAAGAGGAGGAAGAGGAACUCUUGAGGAAGGCCAUUGCUGAGAGCCUAAAUAGCUGUCAGCCCUUGGAUUCCUCCAGUGCAACCCCGCAGUUGUCUGUGGAAAUGCUGGACACACAAGGCCAAAGCCACCCAGCCGAGCAAGAGGGCUGUGGGAUCCUGGGAGGCCUGGCGCCUCGCCAUGACACCCCUCGCUCCAAGGGCAGCUCCCACUCACAGAGCAGCAAAGCUGAUGGGAGUGGACAGAUGGAUGUUGCCCGGAGCCCCCUGGUAGUGUUGAGGAGGUUAAGCCAGGAAAUCGUUGAAAGCUCACUAGUAUCCAGCAUAAUCGUGUCUCCGGGGAACAGCCAGCCUUUGACAAGGUCAAGUGAAAAGUCUUCCCCGCCACCUAGGAAUGAUUCUAGUAACAUGUUACCCAGCACCCUGAGAGAGGACCUCAUCUCUUUGAGUCCCACCUUUGGCAGGGUUCCUUCAGGUUCCUGGCGGCUGACACCUCGGAGACUGUUCACAGGCCCCUCAGGCUCUUCCAGAGCAGCAGACCACGAACCACAGGAGCAGCCCCUGCCCUGCUCUGACCAUUCUGCGGGAGAAACCAGUGCUGGGAGCUCAGCCCAGCUCUUGAAGAGCUGUACCACAGAGCAGGGUGGCAGCCCCAGGAUGAGUGGUGCUGGGGCAGGUACUAAGCACACCCAAAAAUCCAGGCGUGCUGCCAUGGUCUGUGUUACCACAGAGCAAGCAGAGCAGAACGAGGUGUCCGACUCUUCUCCUGAGCUUUGCAUGCUGAAUGUGGCAGAGGAGAAGCACAAGGAGGAGCUGAGAGACACGGUGCACUAUUACUGGGGAAUCCCAUUCUGCCCCAAGGGGGUGGACCCCAACCAGUACACCAGUGUCAUCUUGUGUCAGCUGGAGGUUUACCAGAAAAGCUUGAAGCAGGCUCAGAGGCGGCUAUUGCAUAAGAAGGAGUUCGGUAACCCAAUUGUGCCCAGUUCUUCCUUAAGCCAAAAUGAGCUCGGGAAAGAAGAGCAGAUAAGCAGAGAGAAUGGGGUUGCUGAUGACACAGAAGAUGGAGAUCCAGGCACUCAGAAGGAUUGUGAGAGCAUCACCUGGCUCCUCCCUUCAAAGAAGAGGGAGGCAGAAAGUCCAGGGCACAAUGUGGAAGAAGAGAAGAACUCUACUUCUGAUGAUGAACCAACCACGAGCUACUGCCAGAAUUUUCCUUUUCAGGCCUCCCAGGUGCUGUCCACAGAGGGUGUGCGUGGAGAUGGGGAGCCCAUGCGAACUGCACAGAGCAUCUGCAUGUUGACCCCACUUGGCAGUAAGAGGAGCCCAGACAUUGCCAGAGAAAACUCUGCAGAAGAAGAGAUCUCUGUUUGCCCAGAGACCCAGCCGAGUCCAUCGGAAAGCAUUGAGCCAGAGAGAGAAGAGCUUCCCUUGGUCAGCAAAGAUUCACCCAUGCAGGCUGGUGGAGAUGGCAGUGCUCUAUCUGAGGGCAACGACACGGCUGCUGACCACGUUCCGUGCCCACUGUGUGACCGAGGCUUCCCUGCUGCGGAGAUCGAGCUGCACGCCAUGUACUGCAAUGGCAUCGUGGGAGAGGAUGCUGCCACGGACAGCCCAGCCAGCUGAAGGGCUUACAUGUGUGAGAGGAUCUCCACGGAGCUGCCGAGCCAUUGCCUGCCGCUGCCCUGCUUGAAGCUGCCGGUUUCCCUCUGGAUGUGAGCCUUGGCUGGUACUGAGCACAUCAAACACACUGUUCCCAUCGUCCUCCGCUGAUGCACUCCCAUCUUCCCAGUUCCCACCUGAGCCUGGGAAGAUGAGGAUUUGGUAUAUUCCUCCUUCCCCAAGCCCCAGUACAACUUGGUGCAGCUGUCAAUCUUCAGAGCAACAGCAGCAGCAGUGCUGGUGCAGUUAAAAACCUCAUGACAUUAAUAAAGUGACACUAAUACAAAGAGCAGUGGGAUGGAUGCGGAGAAAAGCUUCACCACUUCUUAAAGACAAGAUGCCGGGAAUCCUGCCACUGCUGGGUCGUGCACGUAAAGCAGUGUGGCUGGUAGGGAGAGCAGGGGAAGGGGGCUGGUGUGUGUUGGCAGGGCUGUCCUCACCAGCGCUCCCAAGGGUGCAGACAGUGGGGGCCAGCCCUGCUGUGCCUCAGAGCCGCUGGCACCGCUGUCCCCAUUCUCCGCCCCACACUUCUGCUGUCAGCAUCGCAGCUGGGGGUCCUCCCCAGGCAUCUGCAAGCUGGUCCCAGAGAUCUCUAAUGGGCCCAUUAUGCCAGAUGUGUUCGCUGCUUUUGAAAGAAAAUAGAACUGAUUAACACCUGAGCUAGUGCACGAGGCUCCCGAAACAGUGCUAAAGGAAUAUUAACAAGUGCACGCUGCUUCAGAGAGCAGCUUUCAGCACGCUGUCAAAUGCAUGUUGGUGGGGCUGCGGGCAUGCUAGGUGGCUGGGGGCUAGCUGUGGCCAUCAGUCCUCCUCAUCAGGCUGCCACUUCAAUCUGGGCCAGGCCAAGUCAAUGAGACGUCUGCCUGUGAGAAAUGAGCUGCUGGAAUCAGCCGUCGCCCAUGAGACAAUGCCCGCAGCCCAGGAAUGAUCUGGAAAGGGAAUUUUGCUAAAACUCUGAAGGAUUUCCUUCGUGCUGCACAAAAUUUUGUGCCUUCUCAUCUUCAUCACAGCUGAUGAGCCAACAAUCACAGCUUUGCCUUGCCUGUAGCUUGGACUCCGGCCUCUCCGGUUGCACACAGUAUGGCAGGUGAUUUUUCUGGGCGGUGCAACAGCUCCAUGCAUUGCUCCCGUGUCCCACGUCUGCUGCUGUGGAGCUGGAGUCUCGGAUGUCCCUGGUGGAGCAAGCUAAGCUAUCUGAUGUGCUCCCUAAGGAUCUUUGCUGGUGGUGUGUCAACAGAGAUAUGCUGAGAGGAACUCAGCUGAAAGAGACAACAUUUAGACGUGCUCCCUGCAAAUGCCCAGAGAGCAGGUUUGGAAGGGCUGCUCAGGCGUGUGAAAAGAGCAGAAACUGUCAGACCUGCUGUCAGCAUGCUGGUGGGGCUGGGGUCUCUCUGGCCACCUACAGAUCCUUAUAGGUGCCUUCCAACUUGGGGCAUUCUGUGAUUCUCUGGUUCUUCCCUGCAGCCAUUGGAGAGCAGUGCCGGUGCGACUCUUCAUCCAGAGCUGUGUGCAGGCAGUAGUAAAGAUCCCCUCUAUUUUGCAUGGGAAAGGAGAACUGAUGGCCUGCAGGGCUGAAUGUUGUAAACUUCUCUUCCCAGCAAGACUUCCUCCUUCUACCCAACCUGCAGGCUGGUGCCUCCGCGCUCUCCCUGCAGCAGGCAGGGGGUUUGCCUUGGCAGUGAGCGGUGCAGCCAUGCUGGAGCAGCGGUGCAUCUCCUCUGCCAGGCUGUUGUGUUGCUGUGUGUCAACUUUAAAAUGACUGUGAACUGUGUGCUGUUGGUUCAGCAGUUUCUGUCAGAUGACAGGUUGGAGUGUGACACGGCGUGCUGUCUUUCAAGGCCUGGAAGUGCUCACUCGGGGUCGGAGAGAGUCACGAAGUAAAGCUGCAGGUGGUGAAAACAGGCAGACGUCCUCAGGUUCUGACAA